GGUACUUGCAAGACCGUCAUUAAAGCCUCGUUCUGCUGUUCUCUUUGUCUCCAUGUCCACUUAUUGAAUUUGGACCAGUGAGUGUGUUUCUCACAAUUUGGGGGCUCGUCCGGGAUCCUCUUGCCUGUGCGAGGUGGGGGCCCAAGCAGAGUGGAAAGACGCGUCCCGCCCACCUUUGGGUGGCCUGCUGUGUCUGGGCAUCUCACCUUCGCAUGGAGGCUGAGGGGAGACCCGAGACUGUUGUGUGGAGAUAGCGUGACUGACGCAGGGGAGAAAACGCAGGCACCGCGGCAACCAGGCAACCUCGUGCAUGAGCCAAGGGAAAAUUAGCUUCCAUGUCAUGAGAACAAGCAACCCUGUGGAGAGGCCAAUGUGGUGAGGAGCUGAGUCCUCCUGCCAACAGCCAUGUGAAUGAGCUGUCUUGGAAAUGGAUUUCUCAGCCCCAGUGGAGGCUUGAGAUGACUACAGCCAUGAUCUAGGCCUUGACUGCAACUGCCUAAGAGACCCUGAGCCAGAACCAUUCAGACUGCUUGAAAUUUUUACUUGGAAAGAAGUAACAGCAAUAGGCUACCAGCCCCGAAACACACUCAGUUGUCCUCAGCAUCACUGAAUGGAAAAUGAGAACACUGUACCUCAUCCUCCAUUAGAUGAAUGGAUAAACAAGAUGUGGUACAUAUACACAAUGGAAUAUUAC